GGUUUGGUGGAUUGGAAAAUUUAAAUUGUCCGUAGGUGUACGUGCAGGUGUGAAUGUGUUUAUUUGUCUAUGUGUGGGCCUGCGACAGGCUUGCAUCCUGUCCAGGGUGUACCCCGCCUUAUGCCCUAUGACUGCUGGGAUAGGCUUCAGUCCCCCCGUGACCCUUAACUGGAGUACGCAGGUAAAGAAAAUGAAUGGAUGUUUUAUUUUUCAACAGGAACACAAGAGGGAAAUUAAAGCUUUAAAAGUUUAUCCAAAACAAAUGUUAAGAUGAACUAUGUUAACCUACAUGUAAAUUACUCAAUUUGUACAUUUGAUAAGGCAUGAGAGAAAAAAAAAACACACUUGGAGG